UUCAUAAUGUGACAUUUUUCCCCCCUUUUCCAUUUAGUUUUGUCAGCCUGGUGGAUGGCAGCUAUCCAGAGAGAGGAAACAGCCAACGUUCUUUGUGGUGGUCCUAACAGACAUUGACUCAGAUCGACAUUACUGCUCAUGCCUAACCUUCUAUGAGGCAGAGAUCAAUCUCCAGGUACAGAAUAUUUUCUAGCCAAAGUGUAGUCAGAGGGACAACAUACCUGCCACAUUUGUUUUUUAUAAAACUGCAAGUUUGAGUUUUAUGGGCUACUUUAAAAAUCAUGAGGAACUUCUUAUAUUUUUGCAUUUAAUGUUGAGUAGGAGAGCAACAAGGUAAAGUUUUUUAAGAGUUUGAUUAUCUCUGAUAAAAAUAUUUACCAUAAUCUGAAUAUUUCUAAGAAUAGCUUAUCCAUGAAUUAGUUUCUUAAGAGUAAUAUUCUCUUGUGGUGAACUUUUGAUUUUUCCCUCCCAGUCCACCAAGG
rnacentral:lncRNA from 1 species